UGAAGGCACGGACACUGUUGUUUAUCUAUUGCUUUGUCAAGAAUGCUUAUCAUAUGCCAUGAAUGGCUUUCAAUGUCUUACACAACUGAUGCCGGUAAUACGUCUCAACAGUUAAAAUUAUAAUGGAUAAGAUAUCCAAAAGGUCCAAGGGCUAUGCAUUUAUAGAGUAUACCACAGAAGAAGCUGCGGGUGCGGCUCUGAAAGAGAUGAAUGGGAAGAUCAUUAAUGGCUGGAUGAUAGUUGUUGAUGUUGCAAAGAUGAACCCACCUAGAUAUAGCCGGGACCACCCUAGGCCAACUGUCUGAGAUCUUAAGCUGCCCAACAAGUUCAUCUGCUCCUUGAAAUGGGCACUGCCUUUUAAGUGCUGCCGGAGGAAGAGAAGUGUAGGAGAACAUAAAAAAUUGCCUGGUCCGAGUUAAUAGUAUGAAUCAUGGAGUUCUCACUGUAGGAGAACUAAACGAGGGUUAUUAGGCAAAAUCGCCUGUCUGUACGGAUCUCACACACUUGAAAUUGCAGCAUUUUGGCCUAUUGCAGGUUU